GGCGAACGCUGGCGGCGUGCUUAACACAUGCAAGUCGAACGGAAAGGCCUGCUUUCCCUUGUGGAUUGCGGGUACUCAAGUGGCGAACGGGUGAGUAACACGUGAGUGAUCUGCCCCCAACUUGGGUAUAAGCCUGGGAAACUGGGUCUAAUUCCCGAUAGGACUGCAGGGUGGUGCCUGUGGUGGAAAACGAUUUUCUAGUGGUUGGGGAUGAGCUCGCGGCCUAUCAGCUUGUUGGUGGGGUAAUGGCCUACCAAGGCGGCGACGGGUAGCCGGCCUGAGAGGGUGGACGGCCACAUUGGGACUGAGAUACGGCCCAGACUCCUACGGGAGGCAGCAGUGGGGAAUAUUACACAAAGGGCGGAAGCCUGAUGCAGCGACGCCGCGUGGGGGAUGACGGCCUUCGGGUUGUAAACUCCUUUCGACCGCGAGGAAGCCACCUGGUUGGAAGGGUGGUGACGGUAGUGGUAGAAGAAGCACCGGCUAACUACGUG
rnacentral:rRNA from 1 species